rnacentral:rRNA from 1 species
GAAAGCCUGACGGAGCAAUACCGCGUGAGGGAGGAAGGCUCUUGGGUUGUAAACCUCUUUUCUCAGGGAAGAAAAAAAUGACGGUACCUGAGGAAUAAGCAUCGGCUAACUCCGUGCCAGCAGCCGCGGUAAUACGGAGGAUGCAAGCGUUAUCCGGAAUGAUUGGGCGUAAAGGGUCCGCAGGUGGCUAUGUAAGUCUGCUGUUAAAGAACCUAGCUUAACUAGGUAAAAGCAGUGGAAACUACAAGGCUAGAGUGCGUUCGGGGUAGAGGGAAUUCCUGGUGUAGCGGUGAAAUGCGUAGAUAUCAGGAAGAACACCAGUGGCGAAGGCGC